rnacentral:rRNA from 1 species
UACGGAGGGUGCAAGCGUUAUCCGGAUUCACUGGGUUUAAAGGGUGCGUAGGCGGGCAUUUAAGUCAGUGGUGAAAUACCUGAGCUUAACUUGGGAACUGCCAUUGAUACUAUUUGUCUUGAAUGUCGUGGAGGUUAGCGGAAUAUGUCAUGUAGCGGUGAAAUGCUUAGAUAUGACAUAGAACACCUAUUGCGAAGACAGCUAACUACGCGAAUAUUGACGCUGAGGCACGAAAGCGUGGGGAUCAAACAGG